rnacentral:rRNA from 1 species
ACGCACGCUGGCGGCAUGCCUCACCCCUGCCAGUCGCACGCGACCUUCGGGUCUAGUGGCGCACGGGUGCGUCACGCGUGGGAACCUGCCCUUAGGUUCGGAAUAACUCCCCGAAAGGGGUGCUAAUACCGGAUAAUGUCUUCGGACCAAAGAUUUAUCGCCUUUGGAUGGGCCCGCGUUGGAUUAGCUAGUUGGUAGGGUAAAAGCCUACCAAGGCGACGAUCCAUAGCUGGUCUGAGAGGAUGAUCAGCCACACUGGGACUGAGACACGGCCCAGACUCCUACGGGAGGCAGCAGUGGGGAAUAUUGGACAAUGGGCGAAAGCCUGAUCCAGCAAUGCCGCGUGAGUGAUGAAGGCCUUAGGGUUGUAAAGCUCUUUUACCCGGGAUGAUAAUGGCAGUACCGGGAGAAUAAGCUCCGGCUAACUCCGUG